rnacentral:rRNA from 1 species
GACGAACGCUGGCGGCGUGCUUAACACAUGCAAGUCGAACGGAAAGGCCUCUUUCGGGGGGUACUCGAGUGGCGAACGGGUGAGUAACACGUGAGUAACCUGCCCUUUACUUUUGGAUAACUUCAGGAAACUGGGGCUAAUACCGGAUAGGAGCUCCUGCUGCACGGUGGGGGUUGGAAAGUUUCGGCGGUUGGGGAUGUAAUCGCGGCUUAUCAGCUUGUUGGUGGGGUAGUGGCUUACCAAGGCUUUGUCGGGUAGCCGGCCUGAGAGGGUGAACGGCCACAUUGGGACUGAGAUACGGCCCAGACUCCUAAGGGAGGCAACAGUGGGGAAUAUUGCACAAUGGGUGGGAGCCUGGUGCAGCAACGCCGUGUGCGGGAUGACGGCCUUCGGGUUGGAAACCGCUUUCGCUCAUGACGAAGCUUUGUGUGACGGUAGUGGGUAAAGAAGCACCGGCUAACUACGUG